rnacentral:lncRNA from 1 species
GUGGGAAUCGUACCCGCGAUGCAUUAGUCAAACUGUAACUACUUUGCGCUGGGCUACAUGUUACUAUUGGUUUAAGUGGGAUCAAAUUAAUUAUCUAUAGUGUUUUGUUUCAAAAAACAGAUUGAAUAUAUAUGUAUAUAUACAGUGUAUUUUUUCGACGAAGUGGGUUCAUAUGAACCAAUUGCAACAAGGUAGGUCCGCCCCUGGACAGAUCACAAAUGAAAACAAAUUACUAGUGUUUUUGACUCCUUAGAAUUUAAACUUAAGACCUCAUAGUUUUCAACGCACUUUUUUGACCGCUAAGUCUCACCAAAUGCACACUACAAGAUAAUAUAACACACUUGGCUAUUAUUUUGCUAUAUACAAUCUAGUACCCCAUAAGGAGUCGGCAACAAGAAUUUCAAGCAAAGACAAAAGGGGUUUUGAAAACUGAAAGGUUACACUAAUUUAUGAACUGGUGUAUAAUCAAAUUGGAAGGCUUACGAGAGGUCUCGAGUUCGAACUCGGGGCAUCAUGUCACAUUUAAUAGGGAAUACCCUAGCCUCAAAAAUGGAACAUUAUGGUGCAACUCCGGAUGUGUUAGGCUACAACAAAGCGGGUAUCUGAUGCCAGAUGAGAAACCAAAAAAAAGUUUUUUGGAAGGCUUCUAAUCAUUUCCCUAUAAAAACUUAUCAUUAGAAACCUCCAAAUUAGAUACCCCUACUCAUAACUUUCGCCACCCUUGCAUGAUAAUUCAAAAUUCAAGCAAAGACAAAAAUGGUUUUGAGAACCGAGAAAGAGUACAACUAAUUGUAUGAAAUGGUAUAGAACGAAAUUCGAAAGCUCCUAACAGUUUCCCUAUACAAACAAGUUGUACUGUAAUGAGAAAUUACCAACCCUCUAGAUUUGGAUAUAAUUACUUGUAGCUUUCACUCUCCUUGCCUUUUCCCAGUUAAACAGGCUAUGCAAUGUCACAUUCUAUAUAUGGUAAAAGAAAACUAAUGAGUAAAUGUUGUUCAGAAAGUGCCAUCAGUAAAUGCUAUAUAUACUAAAUACCUAUUUUCUAGUAAUCGAGAAAUCCCUGAGGUCCUAGUAUUGCAGGAUAAGAGACUUGGUAGUUGGUGGAUAAUGGACCUGCCCCUCUAUCCUUCUCCACUAACAUACUAGGCUUUUGUCUGUGGCAGGUUUCAAACCCAUGAUGUGCUUCUUGUCCACACACAUCAUGCCUUGCAUUUUUAUCUCUAGACUGACAUCCUGGGGUGGAAGUAUAGAUACCUAUGAGACAUUUGUUUACUUAGUGAAUGAAACCUAGGAAAGCAAAAUACCAGAACUACUAAGUUUUUUUUAUUUGCAACCUCAAAAACCAAUUUCCUACUACAUGCCCAGCUACAGACUUAAUUUGGGGAAUUACCUGUUUCCAAGCCAGGCAAGUCAUUUGUUACCAUUAAGCACUGUGUAUUUGGCAUUGAAUGCUUCCAGAACAUGGUGACCUACACAUAGUAGACUAAUGUCAUGCUAGUGCAAUAAACACCCCG